GUCUGUACAAGGCAGGUCUUGCAUGAUUAAAAUUAAAAGGAUAUAACUGGAGCUGCACAAAUCAAUUUUCCUAAGGCCAAAGGAAGCUGGCAGGGAACCCUGGAAAGCAACUUUUGGUCUAUGCAAAGCUGAACAAGCCACAGCACUGAAGAACUUGGAGGUGUUAGAAUGAGGCCUUUGCUGGCUGCACAGUGAUAGAUUUGAGAUGAGGACAAGC
rnacentral:lncRNA from 12 species